AUCUCGGACUUUCAGCCUUUCAGAACCGUGAGAAAUAAAUGUCUGCUGUUUCCGGCUACACCAUCUGCGGUGUUGUCUUAUGGUGACCUGAGCAGACUAAGAUCUUUUUACUCUUCAGUCAGCCUCCAAAAGGAUCAUCAAUUUCCUCUUAGGAUAAUUCUGGGACUGUGUGCAUAUUGAGAGGACAACAGAGGUCAAAGAAAAUCCUGUAAUGGACCAUCCUUUGGUAAGCACAAGAAGCCUGGAUGCCAAAAAAGCUGGUGAGAGAUCACACAGAAUAUCUGUAUUAAAACCUGGACAACUAGUGGAUUAUUUGAAAGCUGAUGACGAAGAAUGGAAGUUUCCUUGAAGAAAAAAGCUAUAAGGGAGGUCAAGACCUCAUCGUGACCUCAAAUGUAACUAUUACCCUACUGGUUAGCUGAAAUUGGAGAUCAAAGCCUGAAUGUGCUAAAUGUAUUUGGCUGUGAAUUGUUUCUUGAAAAAGGUAAAAGGAAGUA